CGUUCCACCGCUGUACGUGCAUUCCAUUUAUUCUGAUAAUCCACCGAUUGUUCUAUAAAUUCAAAUUCAUAAUUCCAUUAUGAAUCCAGAAUUCAUAAUUCCAGAUAAUCCAUCGAGUGUUUCUUUAAAUUCAAAUUCAUAAUUCCAUUAUGAAACCGGAGGUGGAACAAGACGUAAGACUUUUAAGUCCGACUUCAGAAUAUGCUGUAAAUUUUGCGGCCGGGUUCUUUUUGAUGAUAUACAUGAGACGGAAAUUAAGAGGCGAAUAGAUGAUUGGUAUGCUACCGACUUGGGCAAUUCGUCGACUAGUUCUGUUUCUACCUUGUCCAAUAUAGUGAUCGAUGAAAGUGAGUCCGACUUAGAUGGUAGCUCGUCCUCGUCCAAUUCGUCUGUCGAGCAGCGAAUUGUUUAAAACGAGCCUACAUUAUCGACCCUAAAGCAAAAGUAGGUGCUGAGAUAUCGAGUUGAAUGAAUUAAGAACUUGAAUUUUGGAUUGAGUACGUUUGUUUUUUUUUGUUUUUUGUUUUUUUUUAAUUUAGUACAUUUAUAGUUCAGUUAGUAUAUUUGGAUUUGGAAUUAUUUUAUCAUUGUUUCUAUGU